UGAGGAAUAUUGGUCAAUGGGCUUACGCCUGAACCAGCCAAGUCGUGUGAGGGGAAGACUGCCCUAUGGGUUGUAAACCUCUUUGUCAGGGAGCAACGCCGGCUACGUGUAGCCGGACUGAGAGUACCUGAAGAAAAAGCAUCGGCUAACUCCGUGCC
rnacentral:rRNA from 1 species